GCAAGUCGAGCGGGCGUAGCAAUACGUCAGCGGCAGACGGGUGAGUAACGCGUGGGAACGUACCUUUUGGUUCGGAACAACACAGGGAAACUUGUGCUAAUACCGGAUAAGCCCUUACGGGGAAAGAUUUAUCGCCGAAAGAUCGGCCCGCGUCUGAUUAGCUAGUUGGUGAGGUAAUGGCUCACCAAGGCGACGAUCAGUAGCUGGUCUGAGAGGAUGAUCAGCCACAUUGGGACUGAGACACGGCCCAAACUCCUACGGGAGGCAGCAGUGGGGAAUAUUGGACAAUGGGGGCAACCCUGAUCCAGCCAUGCCGCGUGAGUGAUGAAGGCCCUAGGGUUGUAAAGCUCUUUUGUGCGGGAAGAUAAUGACGGUACCGCAAGAAUAAGCCCCGGCUAACUUCGUGCCAGCAGCCGCGGUAAUACGAAGGGGGCUAGCGUUGCUCGGAAUCACUGGGCGUAAAGGGUGCGUAGGCGGGUCUUUAAGUCAGGGGUGAAA
rnacentral:rRNA from 2 species